GAACGCUAGCGGCAGGCUUAACACAUGCAAGUCGAGGGGCAGCGGGGAGGAAGCUUGCUUUCUCCGCCGGCGACCGGCGCACGGGUGAGUAACACGUAUGCAACCUGCCCCUGUCAGGGGGACAACCCGCCGAAAGGCGGGCUAAACCCGCGUACAUGCCACCGGGGCAUCCCGGAGGCAGGAAAGGCUUCGGCCGGACAGGGAUGGGCAUGCGGCGCAUUAGGCAGUAGGCGGGGUAACGGCCCACCUAACCGACGAUGCGUAGGGGUUCUGAGAGGAAGGUCCCCCACACUGGUACUGAGACACGGACCAGACUCCUACGGGAGGCAGCAGUGAGGAAUAUUGGUCAAUGGUCGGGAGACUGAACCAGCCAAGCCGCGUGAGGGAUGAAGGUACAGAGUAUCGUAAACCUCUUUUGUCAGGGAACAAAGGCGGGGACGUGUCCCCGGAUGAGUGUACCUGAAGAAAAAGCAUCGGCUAACUCCGUGCCAGCAGCCGCGGUAAUACGGAGGAUGCGAGCGUUAUCCGGAUUUAUUGGGUUUAAAGGGUGCGCAGGCGGUCUGUUAAGUCAGCGGUCAAAGCCCGGGGCUCAACCCCGGCCCGCCGUUGAAACUGGCAGUCUCGAGUUGGAGAGAAGUAUGCGGAAUGCGCGGUGUAGCGGUGAAAUGCAUAGAUAUCGCGCAGAACUCCGAUUGCGAAGGCAGCAUGCCGGCUCCACACUGACGCUGAGGCACGAAAGCGUGGGUAUCGAACAGGAUUAGAUACCCUGGUAGUCCACGCAGUAAACGAUGAAUGCUGGCUGUCCGGGGGGGAUUGACCCCUGGGUGGCGAAGCGAAAGCGAUAAGCAUUCCACCUGGGGAGUACGCCGGCAACGGUGAAACUCAAAGGAAUUGACGGGGGCCCGCACAAGCGGAGGAACAUGUGGUUUAAUUCGAUGAUACGCGAGGAACCUUACCCGGGCUCAAACGGGGAGUGACUCAGGCAGAGACGCCUGUUUCCCACGGGACACUCCCCGAGGUGCUGCAUGGUUGUCGUCAGCUCGUGCCGUGAGGUGUCGGCUUAAGUGCCAUAACGAGCGCAACCCCCGCGUGCAGUUGCUAACAGAUAACGCUGAGGACUCUGCACGGACUGCCGGCGCAAGCCGCGAGGAAGGCGGGGAUGACGUCAAAUCAGCACGGCCCUUACGUCCGGGGCGACACACGUGUUACAAUGGGUGGUACAGCGGGAAGCCAGGCGGCGACGCCGAGCGGAACCCGAAAUCCACUCUCAGUUCGGAUCGGAGUCUGCAACCCGACUCCGUGAAGCUGGAUUCGCUAGUAAUCGCGCAUCAGCCAUGGCGCGGUGAAUACGUUCCCGGGCCUUGUACACACCGCCCGUCAAGCCAUGGGAGCCGAGGGCGCUUGAAGUGCGUCGCCGCGAGGCGCGCCCUAGAGCGAAAUCGGUGACU
rnacentral:rRNA from 1 species